CACGCAGGCGGUCUGUUAAGUCAGAUGUGAAAUCCCCGGGCUUAACCUGGGAACUGCAUUUGAAACUGGCAGGCUUGAGUCUCGUAGAGGGGGGUAGAAUUCCAGGUGUAGCGGUGAAAUGCGUAGAGAUCUGGAGGAAUACCGGUGGCGAAGGCGGUCUACUGGACGACAACUGACGCUGAGACACGAAAGCGUGGGGAGCAAACAGGAUUAGAUACCCCAGU
rnacentral:rRNA from 1 species